rnacentral:sRNA from 1 species
UCUGUAGUUUCUGACGCCGAUUCCGUC